CAGAGGUCCCAAGCGUUGUUCGGAUUCACUGGGCGUAAAGGGUGCGUAGGUGGUCGGGUAAGUCUGAUGUGAAAUCUCCGAGCUCAACUCGGAAAUGGCAUUGGAUACUAUUCGGCUGGAGGGUUGGAGGGGGGACUGGAAUACUUGGUGUAGCAGUGAAAUGCGUAGAUAUCAAGUGGAACACCAGUGGCGAAGGCGAGUCCCUGGACAACUCCUGACACUGAGGCACGAAAGCUAGGGGAGCAAACAGGAUUAGAUACCCUGGUAGUCCUAGCUGUAAACGGUGCAUAUUUGCUGUAAAAGGAAUCGACCCCUUUUGUGGCGUAGCAAACGCGUUAAAUAUGCCGCCUGGGAAGUACGGUCGCAAGAUUA
rnacentral:rRNA from 1 species